UUUUUCCAUCCUACAAGAUCUAAAUAAUUCUUGUUGUAAAAUGGGCAAAUGGUCUGAGGUGCCUGACGUCCAGGCAUUCUUUUACACAUCAGUCCCUUCCUAGUCUCUGUGCCCAGUGCAACUCGUCCCAUCUUCCUUCUUUCCCUCCCGCCUGUCCCCUCAGUACCAACCCCAAGCAUCGCUGAGUCUUUCUAAUCUUCCUUUUCUACAAACCCAUCUGACCUCUCCCCUCCUCCCCAGGCUGCUCCUCGCCAGGCUGAGCUAGGUCCCAAUUCUUCCUCAGCCUCUGCUCCCCCACCCUAUACUCUUUUUAUCACCUCCCCUCCUAACACCUGGUCCGGCUUACAGUUUCCUUCUCUGACUAGCCCUCCCCCUCCUGCCCAGCAAUUUACUCUUAAAAAGGUGGCUGGAGCUAAAGGCAUAGUCAAGGUUAAUGCUCCUUUUUCUUUAUCCCAAAUCAGAUAGCGUUUAGGCUCUUUUUCAUCAAAUAUAAAAAUCCAGCCCAGUUCAUGAC
rnacentral:lncRNA from 1 species